GUGUCAGCAGCCGCGGUAAUACGUAGGGAGCAAGCGUUGUUCGGAAUCAUUGGGCGUAAAGAGCGCGUAGGCGGUUUAGUAAGUCCGAUGUGAAAUCCCAGAGCUUAACUCUGGAACUGCAUUGGAAACUGCUAGGCUUGAGUGCGGGAGAGGUGAGUGGAAUUCCCAGUGUAGAGGUGAAAUUCGUAGAUAUUGGGAGGAACACCGGUGGCGAAGGCGGCUCACUGGACCGCAACUGACGCUGAGGCGCGAAAGCUAGGGGAGCAAACGGGAUUAGAUACCCCGGUAGUCC
rnacentral:rRNA from 1 species